rnacentral:rRNA from 1 species
GCAAGGAUCAUUACCGAACUGUCAACACGAGUUGUUGCUGGUCCCUCAACAGAGGGCAGGUGCACGCUCUGUUUACACAUCCACUCACACCUGUGCACCUUCUGUAGUACUAUGUUCUGGGAGACCUUGUCUUCCUUUCAUGGUUCUACGCUUUUACACAUACNCUGUAAUUAAGUUUUAUGGAAUGUAUGCCGCGUUUAACGCAAUAAAAUACAACUUUCAGCAACGGAUCUCUUGGCUCUCGCAUCGAUGAAGAACGCAGCGAAAUGCGAUAAGUAAUGUGAAUUGCAGAAUUCAGUGAAUCAUCGAAUCUUUGAACGCACCUUGCGCCCCUUGGCUAUUCCGAAGGGCAUGCCUGUUUGAGUAUCAUGAACACCUCAACUCUCAUGGUUUGCCAUGAUGAGCUUGGACUUUGGAGGCUUGCNGGCCUUUGUUGGCUCCUCUCAAAUCGAUCAGCUUGCCAGUGUUUGGUGGCAUCACGGGUGUGAUAACUAUCUACGCUUGUGAAGGUCUGCCAAGUAACCUCCAGCAAUGGAGGUUCGCUGGAGCUUCCAAAUGUCUUUCCUCUGCAAAGACAGCUUUUCUGAUGUUUGAUCUCAAAUCAGGUAGGACUACCCGCUGAACUUAAGCAUAUC